GGGGGCUUAGCUCACCUGGGAGAGCGCCUGCUUUGCACGCAGGAGGUCAGCGGUUCGAUCCCGCUAGUCUCCACCA
rnacentral:tRNA from 2 species